rnacentral:rRNA from 1 species
UGUCUGGGAAACUGCCUGAUGGAGGGGGAUAACUACUGGAAACGGUAGCUAAUACCGCAUAACGUCGCAAGACCAAAGAGGGGGACCUUCGGGCCUCUUGCCAUCAGAUGUGCCCGGAUGGGAUUAGCUAGUAGGUGGGGUAACGGCUCACCUAGGCGACGAUCCCUAGCUGGUCUGAGAGGAUGACCAGCCACACUGGAACUGAGACACGGUCCAGACUCCUACGGGAGGCAGCAGUGGGGAAUAUUGCACAAUGGGCGCAAGCCUGAUGCAGCCAUGCCGCGUGUAUGAAGAAGGCCUUCGGGUUGUAAAGUACUUUCAGCGGGGAGGAAGGGAGUAAAGUUAAUACCUUUGCUCAUUGACGUUACCCGCAGAAGAAGCACCGGCUAACUCCGUG